GUGAGUCCAUAGAGUAAAGUGAAGGCAAGUUUAUUAAGAAAUUAAAGGAAUAAAAGAAUGCCUACUCCAUAGGCAGAGCAGUGGUAUGGGCUGCUUGAUUAAGUAUAAUAGUUAUUUCUUGAUUAUAUUCUUAUAGUUAUUCCUUGAUUAUAUGCUAAACAAAGGGUGGAUUAUUCAUGAGUUUUCUGGGAAAGGGGUGGGCAAUUUCUGGAACGGUUUUUCCCCUUUUUAGACCAUAUAGGGUAACUUCCUGCUGUUUCCAUGACAUUUGUAAACUGUCAUGGCACUGAUGGGAGUGUCUUUUAGCAUGCUAAUGCAUUAUGAUUACCAUAUAAUAAACGGUGAAGAAGGCCAGAGGUCACUUUUGUCACCAUCUUGGUUUUGGCUGGCUUCUUUACCACAUCCUGUUUGUUGACAAAAAGAGUCAAACUAUAGAAUAUUUGAAGAGGUUUAUUCUGAGCCAAAUAUGAGUGACCAUGGCCCAUAACACAGCCCUCAGGAGGUCCUGAGAACAUGUGCCCAAGGUGGUCAGGGUGCAGUUUGGCUUUAUACAUUUUAGGGAGAAAUGAGACUUCAAUCAAAUACAUUUAAGCAAUACAUUGCUUUGGUCCAGAAAGGUGGGACAACUCAAAGCAGGGGCUUCUAGCUUACAGAUAGAUUUAAAAUUUUUCUGGUUGACAAUUGGCUGAGUUUAUCUAAAGACCUAGGAUCAACAGAAAGGAAUGUUUGGGUUAAAAUAAAGGAUUGUGAAGACCAAAGUUCUUAUUUGCAGAGGAAGCCUUCAGGUAGAAGGCUUCAGAGAGAAUAGGUUGUAAAAUGUUUCUUAUCAGACUUAAAGUCUGUGUUGAUGUUAAUGCCAGGGAUGUAUAAUGAGGCAUGUCCUACCCUCACUUCCCAGGAUAGCCUGAAUCAGUCUUUCAGGUUGAAUUUCAAGAGUGCCCUGGCUGAAGAGGAAGUCCAUUUGGAUGGUUUGGGUGCCUUAGAAUUUUAUUUUUGGUCUAGACGUUUUAUCAGCAAGGUCUUUAUAAAAUGUAUCUUGUGCCAACCUCCUAUCUCAUCCUGUGACUUAGAGUGCCUAACUUCCUAGGAAUGCAGCCCAGUGGGUCUCAGUCUUAUUUUACCCAGCCCCUAUUCAAGAUGGGGUCACUCUGGUUCAAAUGCCUCUAACAAAACCAGAUGGCCUGGGAUGGCACCAGAGCUUCUUAACCCCUGACCAGAUACUGGAGGGAGAUAUGACCCCCAAACCAGCACAGACUGGAACAGAUGACCCCUUGUUACCUUUAGAUCAUUAACAUAUCAUUAUAAUGCUAAAUUUCCCACCCUUAUGUAAAAGGAAAAUAAAUCUCAGGACCCCAAAAUCACUAAGCCAAAGGGAAGACUCAAGUUGGGAACUGCAUCAGGCAAACCUUCCUCCCAUUCUUUUCUACAUACCUCUCUCACAAUUUGCCCACAAGGAAAUUCCUUGUGGACAAAGGACAGAUAGAACUCAAAGUCAUCCCUUUGCUCAUGUAAGACAAGUGCAUAUCUGAUUGCUUCUUUUGCCUUAUUGUUUUCACUAAGCCAGACUAAAGCAUAAGUGACUAUUCCUAUGAAGUGUGUAUUCAGUGAAAGGCUAAUCAAAAACUCAAAAGAAUAUAACCAUUUGUUUCUUAUCUACCUAUGACCUGGAAGCCCCCUCCGUGCUUUGAGUUGUCCCACUUUUCUAGACCAAACCAAUGUACAUCUUACAUGUAUUGAUUGAUGUCUCAUGUCUCCUUAAAACGCAUAAAACCAAGCUGUGCCUCAAUUGCCUUGGGCACAUGUCAUCAGGACCUCCUAAGGAUAUGUCACAGGCACGUCCUUAACCUUGACAAAGUAAACUUUCUAAAUUGACUGAGACUUGUCUCAGAUACUCUUGGUUUACACUUAUAGGAAAAUCACCACCAUUUUCUGAACAUAUGUCACAUGAAGAGGAGAGUUUAUUGUCUACGCCUGUGUCUAGGGUUCCUCCUUGCACAUGUUUGCAUACUUUCCCACCCCAUGGCUAACUCCUUAAAAUUCCCCAGUGUAUUAGUCUGUUCUUAUGCUGCUAAUAAAGACAUACCGGAGACUGGGCAAUUUAUAAAGGAGAGAGGUUUAAUUGACUCACAGUUCCACAUGGCUGGGGAGGCCUCACAAUUUUGGCAGAAGGGCCAAGUGCAGUGACUCACACCUGUAAUCCCAGAACUUUGGGAGGCUGAGACAGGCAGAUCACCGAAGUCAGGAGUUUGAGAUUAGCCUGGCCAACAUGGCGAAACCCCAUCUCUACUAAAAAUUAGCCAGGCGUGGUGGUGCACACCUGUAAUCCCAGCUCCUCAGGAGACUGAGAGAGGAGAAUGGCUUGAACCUGGGAGGCAGAGGUUGCAGUGAGCCAAGAUUGCAUUACUGUACUCCCACCUGGGUGACAGAGUGAGACUCUGUCUCAAAAAAAAAAAAAAAAAAGAAAAAAAGAAAAUCAUCCUGAAGGCAAAGACGAAGCUAAGGCAUGUCUUACUUGGUGGCAGGAAAGAGAGCAAGUGCAGCAGAACUCCUCUUUAUAAAACCAUCGGAUCUCAUGAAACUUAUUCACUAUCACAAGAACAACAUAGGAAAGACCCACCCCCAUAAUUUAAUUACCUCCCACUGGAUCCCUCCCACAACAUGUGGGAAUUAUGGGAGCUACAAUUCAAGAUGAGAUUUGGGUGGGGACACAGCCAAACCAUGUCACCCAGCUUCCCAUGUCUCAGGGAGAAGAUGCUCCUUCUACAUUCCUGGCCAGGAAUAAAAUCUGUUUGUCUUUUUUUCUGAUUGGGUGUUCCUUCUUUGCGACCAAUACAAAGUAGGAAACAAACUCAGUUUACUGGCAACAAGGGGGCUCAAACAACAGGCAGAUUGAUUAUCUACAAAUUGAACAGGCCCCGGAUGUAGUGAAUGCAGGCAAGGUUGGUUCAGUGGCUGUGUAAUGUCACAAGGACUGAGGUUGUGGGGGCCAAGAGAGAACUUUCCCCUUGGCCCUUUAAAGGUUGGCUGGAAAAUCGCUGACAUGAGGCAGAUUGGUUAAUAGGAAAAAAAGGUGUACAAGUGUAUUUAACGUGUAUACACAGGAGCCUUCGAAACGAAGACUCAACUUCCCAAUAAGGUAGAGAAGCUUAUGUGCCAACUUGAGGUUUCAGAAAGAAAGGGGCCUUGGAUUCUGAUAAAACAGGUUAUGGGAACAUGGAGAAGAGGAAGUCUAUUGAUGGGAAUAAAUGAUUAUUCAGGAGAAUGAUUGAAUGGGGAACAGAAAUUAAGUUGUAAAUAGUUCUCUUUGGAAAUUAAGUGAUCCUUGGAGAUAGUCAUCAUCUUGAAAAAGGGUCCAUUCAGGUGGUUACAUUUUGGUCUUACAGGGAGGGGAAGAAAACUGUUCUCCUUGAUAGGUCUGGAUCUUAGGCAGAUAAUGGAACUUCAGUUUCUUUGGAAGAAACGGUGGAAGGUCAGAGAGACCUUGAGUCUUGUUCUUCAGUUCAGCAUGUCGUAUUUUGGGGUACUGGUUUCUGAAAACCAACAGGUUCUUUCCAUCUUUCUGUCCUUCCAUCCUCCAUGUCCCAGCUCUGUCCUCAACCUGUUCCCUUUUUAGGGCUGCUGAUAGAGGUGUAGUGUGGUGGUUGUUAAAAGGAAAACUGUAGAGAAAUUUAACAAAGUUUAAUGGAGCAAAGAAUGAUUCAUGAAUUGGGCAGCCCCCUGAAACAGAAUAGGCUUAGGGCAACUCCAGGGUUGCCAUAUGGUCCAAUACUAUUUAUGGACAAAAAAAGUAAAGUGGCGUAUGGAAGAUGGAAGUGAGGUAAACAGAAACAAUCAGAUUGGUUACAGCUCAGAGUUGGUCUUAUUUGAACGUGGUUUGAACAGUUGGCUGCCUGUGAUCAGCCAAAUCUCAGCUGCUGUGAUUGGUUGAGACUUGGCGACUUGUUGUAAGAGUAGGUUGUGGUGUGUUUACACAUCCAGUUAGGUGACAGUUCACUAUGUAUUAAGAAACCUUUAGUCCCGACUGAAAAUAUCUAAAGAAGAAGCUGUAGACUAAAUUCAAUUUAACAAGACUAAAUCAUGGACUGGAGUUCAAAUCUCAGCUCUCUUGCUUAGAAGUCAUGCCUCAGUCUCCUCAUAUGCAAAGUAGAGGAAAAUGGAGGAAUUUAUCCCACUUGGUUGUGCUAAAAGAUAAACUGGUUUUAUUAAAAUAGUAAAGAGUUUAUUCGAACAGAGAGCAGUUCAUGAAUCAGGCGGCUCCAGAUUGCCAGCAGUCCACAGCUCCAACAAAGGAUCCUGAGGGGAGGAUUUUUAUAAGGUGCACGGAGAGGCAAGACAAAGAAAACAUCUGGCUGGUUUAAGUGCGGCAGUAGCCUAAUUUGAUUCAUUUCAGUGCACAGUUCCUAGUUAGAGUUUACUUGGCAGUUUCUGAUUAAACUUAAGUUUUGUUCUACUUCAACACUGAAUUGGGUUUUGGUUUACUUAUACAGGAACCCAGGGUGCUGGAGUUGCCUCAAUGUAAUGCCCUCCCAAUUAAUUAGCUGUUGCGAUCAUACAAGGAAUAAAUGCUGUCUGCCUUAUUUAUCAUUUUCUUGGCUGAAUCUGACUAUGCUAAUUCCAGACUUCAGACCCACAAUAUACAGUGAAGGAAGAAGAACCAUUCUUUCCAGUGUCUUUGUCUUUCUGUUAGCCUAGAGGGCGCAUGUAGAUUAAUUAGGAAACAUAUCCCCUUCCUUGAACCCCCACGCUGGAUGCUUUCUCACCUGAGGGUGACUUGUGUGCAUUAGACAACAAUGCCCAUUUGCUUUGUGUAAAGACAAAAGUGUUCUUUCUGGGUACCUGCCUCUCCACACUCCUCAUGGGCUGGUGAGCAGAAAUCAUAUGGGUCCACCCUAAAUUUCCUGGGCUGUGUGCUGUUGCUUCAAACCCUAUCUCAAAUGCCACUUAAUUUGCUUACACUGUAUCUUUAAAAUGGAAACUUUCAUCUUCCAUCAUAUCUUAUAAUUAUUUGUUUGUAUUUAAUUCCCCACAUCUGACAGUGAUCUCCACAGUGUCUUUUGCAAAUGUUCUUAAAUGUUUGUUCAUACUACUUAAUCUCUACGGAAUGGUACUGGAUCACUUUAACUUUAGGAGGUGGUGCCUUCUUAGACCUGAUAAAUCAAGUUUAGCUUAAAGCUGCCUCCUUACAUAUUUUAAGUUUGGUCUAAAGGUUUCUCCAUACAUUGUAAACUCUAACCUGACUGGAUGUGUAAAUAGACUGUAACCUACUCUUGUGCCACUCACUGAGCUUUGGUCAAUCACAGGUGCACAACUGUUCAAGUCAUGUUCAAAUAAGACAAACUGAGCUGUAACCAAUGGGCUGUUUUUGUACCUCAUUUUAGUUUUCUGUAAGUCACUUUCCUUCUAUCCAUAAAUCUUCCACCAUGUGGCUGUGCUGGAGUCUCUCUGAGCCUACUCUGGCUUGGAAGACUGCCUGAUUUGCUAAUCAUUCUUUGCUCAAAUUAAACUCUGUUAAAUUUAGUUAGUCCAGGGUUUUUUUUUUGUUUGUUUUUUUAAAAUCAAAUCUUCAGUGACUCUUUAUGGUGGUCAAUUAUGGCCAGGAUGGAUAGGAGACUACCAUGCAGAAAAGUAUGAGAGAGACUUGAAAACCAUGCAGUGAUCUUUAAAACCCUCUGAAUAUGUAUUUUCAAAUGCUGCUUUCAUAAGUCAUUAACCAUAAUUUAUUGAAUGUGUACUAUGUGUAUGGCAUUGUACUAGAUCCUUUAUAAACCAUAUAGAAUUUUUAUAGUAACCUUGAAAAGUAUGUGUUAUUAUAUCCACUGUACAUAUUGGGGGGACUGGAGGCUUAGAAAGUGGAAGUCGAGGCUUGCACACACUUAUUAUGAAAGGCCAGCUGGCAUGAUAGUGGUUCACCCUGAACAGCAGAUGGAACUGAUAACAGGCCCAUUAAAUUAUGGGCCAAAUAGUUUGCAACCUUAAGAAAUCCCUGUGAAAUGUUCAUAGAAUAUUAACUUCUUAUCUUAUCAAAGAAAAUUUUAACCCAUUGAAAUAUAAGAUUUGUGUUAGGGUCUGAAUGGCCAACCAUUUUUUUUUUUCUGUAUGUGUUUGAGAAUAAUGUGUUUUGCAAUUUUUACAUGCAGUAUUUUAUAUAAGCUUAUGGUACAGCUUGUUUAUUGUAUAAUUUAAAACUUCCUUGUCCUUACUAACUUUUGUCUGUUUAUUCUAUUGCUAAAAGUGGUAUAGUAAAUACACUACAAUAAUGCAUUUGUCAAUUUAUCUUUAGUUAUGUCACUUUCUGCUUCAUAUAUUUUGAGACCAUGUUAUUAGGUACAUAAAAUAUAAUAAUUAUAUUUUUUUCUGGCAAACUGAAGCUUAUUAUAAAUGACCCUCUUUGUUGCGAGUAAUGCCUUUUGCAUUUACAACUGAUGGAGACAGGACGCAGCCAAAAGUCCCUGGUGAAACCCCGCCUUCAAGCCUAAAACAGCCUGAAGGAUGAAAAACCAGACUUCUGGUGCCUGAUGAAGCCUGCCCUUUCCUGACUGAUUCUAAAUAAUGCCUACCUGCCAACUGGGAAGGCAGGGUGGAGCCUUCGGAAAUUCAUGACCUUCGCAGGGGAGAGGAGCUUGGCCUCUCCUAUUCCUGUGUGGUGACCUGGGAUUCAAACUGUGAGGCGGAAAACCUGCUAGCAGGAGUCUCGCUUUGCUGAGAGUUAUUUUUCUUUUCCUUUUUAUCCAAUAAAUUCCGUCUUCUCACGCUUCUAUGUGUCUGUGACCCUACUCUUUCCUGGUCGUGUGACAAGAGCCUGGUUUUAGCUGACCUAAGAAGAAAGUUCUGCAACAUUUUUGGUGUCCAGACGUGAGUCUUGAGGAAGGACAAGUACAGACAAUCACCAGGAACUAAGGAACAAGAAGCAUCCAACCCUGCAUCUGUGGGUUUCCUGAGGUGACUCUCAAUUGUCAUAGGGGUGAAGAGUGAGUGAGGAAACCCUUGGAGCACUUGUUUGCUUCACAGACAUCCUGACCUCCUUUCAACUGUAAAGACUUAGUCAGAGGACGGCGGCUCCCUCAGCCUCAUUCUGCAGUUCCAAUGACACUUUUUACAAAGGCUCUGUACUUGUCUGAUUCUUAAAUAUUCCAGUUUUUGAACUUUGCUGCAGUAGUUGUAUUCGAAAUGGGUUAAUUGUCUCAUUUUCUUUUUAAUGCCUACUCUUUCAAGGCUCAAAUCUUGAAUAGGUCAAAAAGAGCAAGAGGAAAAUGUCAGAGAAUGGAGAAAGGCAAAUACAGAGAAGCAGUGUGAACAUCCACCCGGCGAGGUGACCUGAUGGUGCUGCUCCAUGUCAGAGACAGUAGUGUCUGGGAAGAGGGAGCCCUUUCCACAGGGUGGAGCAAAAGGCCUGGAGCUGACACCUGGCUCCUGGGCCCACUCGCCCACCACCUCGAGCAACUCCCUUCCUUAACGUCUGCCCGAGUGUUAAGGGCUGAGCACAUGACCUCACAGGAGGAUGUGAGGGGCAGCGGUAACAUGUGUCUAGCACUUUGUCCCUUAUAAGUCACUCACAAAUACUUAUAUCCUUAUUAUCUUCAUCCUUUUCUCUUGAGUUUUUCUCUAAUUCUUUAAGAAGGAAACACGUAGCCAGGAAGUGGAGAGCCUCUCACAUACUUGGGGAGUUUUCAUAUUUCCCCCAUCAGUUCCUUUUCUGGCCUGAGCUCAUGCUCCCUAAGAUCAGGGCUUGGGCUUUGUUUUAGUCUGUGUUGUUAUAAAAGAAUAUCCAACAGUGUGUAAUUUAUAAAGAAAAGAGGUUGACUUGGCUCAUGGUUCUGCAGGCUGUACAGGAACAAGCUUGGCUCCAGCAUCUGCUUGGCUUCUAGGGAGGCCUCAGGAAGCCUUUACUCAUGGGGGAAGGCAAAGGGGAGCAGGCAUUAUGUGAGAGGAAGGAAGAGAGAGGCAGGGGAGGUGCCAGGCCCUUUUAAACAAUCAGCGCCCAUGGGAAAUAACAGAGCCAGAACUCACUCAUUAACUUCAGAAUGGCACCAAGCCAGUCAUAAGGAUCCACCUCCAUGACCCAGACACCUGCCACCAGGCCACGCCCAGUAUCAGGGAUCACAUUUUAACGUGAGACUCGGAGGGGACAAACAUCCAAAUCACAUCUGGCCCCAUAACCUUUGGAGACCUCAGCUCUGGCGCUAGGGUGGUAGGUCCCCUAAGGGUUCGUGCUCUCUGAAGGAAUUGGGUUACAUUACCUGGGAGAGCUUUCUGGAGGAAGUGAGCUUUGCUUCUCACAGGUUUCUAUAAGGAGAAGGAUGGGCUGUUGGAAAGGGAGUGAGUGUGUGUCCAAGUGAGGGAAAGUGAGGUUCAGCAUCUUGGUGCUCUUGGCUCAGCUUCCCUUUCUAUGCCAUGCACAGUGCCUCCAGGAUGCCAGGGGGUGCCAUCCCUGACCUGUUCUGGGGUGGGUGUGCAAGAUGCGAAAUGGCUAAUUUCAGUUCACUGGUAACUCUAACAUUUGGAUAAUAAUUGGCCAUAGCAUUAGCUUUGGUUAUACAUCUCCAAAUGUGUUAUUACAUUAUAUAUAUAUAUAUAUAUAUAUAUAUAUAUAUAUAUAUAUGCACACACACACGUAUACAUAUAUACACACAUCUACACUGUAUUGAUAUGUUGAUAUAUUGAUGUUAUGAAUUAUUUUAAAGAGUAUUCUAUUGAUGUAGAGGAUAAUAUGAAAUUCAAUAUUUUCUGGCACUCUUUUUAAAUGAUACUUAGGCCAUCUGAUGAAAACAGAGCUCAGUAAAGAUUUCUUAUUGAUAAAUCAACAUUACAAAUGAAGACUAGUUUCAUUGCCAUGAUCAGUAAAUUAAGGGUCAUAAAUUAACUGUUGAGUUAUUUUCUUUGCACUAUUAAGCCUUCCACUCAAUCUUUCUACAGUCUUUCUUAUUUAGCAAACGGUGUUACUUGAUAGAAACCUCUGCUGUGAUUUUGUUUUUUGAAAUUUAAUAAGAAAGCUAUAUAAUACAAUUCUCGGGGGAAAACAAGCAAGGUAGGUUUUUCACGGUAACCUCCAAGCAGAGAAAUGGUUUCAGUGCGCAGUCCAGUGAAUUUCCUCCAUAGAGUGUGCUGGAAGAAGUCACCUGGAAGUGAUCACCAGAGUGAUAUUCAGUUUGACUCUCAUUGGGUUUCACAGAGCCAAGCAGAAAAGGAGCACAGGUGACCUUGGCAGGAAGGCAUGCAUGGGAGAGCAGGUCUGCACUCUGGGACACCAGCCUCAACAGAAUACGAGUUUUGAAUUUUUGAAUUGCUGUUAAAACUUUCAUCAUGAACACUGAAGUGAGUGAAAAGAGACUUUUGCAGUCAUUUUUUUGCUGGCUGCAGAUGACAGUGACACCCUGGGAGUUGAGAAAUGCUUGUAAGAUGGAAGGAGGCUGUGUCCCUGAAUGAUCACCUGGAAGAGAGCCACCUUAGCCAAUGAAACUCCUGCUAUGAAUGUUUGCUGAGCAAGAAAUAUACUUACUGCUUUAUAUGCCUUUGAAGCUAUAGGUUCAUAUUGUUACCACAAUUUAAAGUGCUAUAAUAAAAAGAGUUCAGGAAGCAGGCACAUGGAAGCAAUAAGAGCAACAAACAUUUACACAGUUCUCAGGUCCCUGGACCAUGAAGGGCCACAUCCAAGGAGCUACCCCAGGAGGCCUCUCAUUUGCAUUUGUCCCCGCUAAUGCAGGACAGAGAUCAUGGAAGUUGGGCCCGACUGGAUGAGAUUUGGGGGUCUUUGGAAGUGGAGAAUGUGUUUGCCCUGGGGAAGAGAGGUGAUGUCUAGGAGACCUCUUCACUCAGGGCAAGCUCUAUGACCUGCUUUGACUCCAGAAUGUGGUAGAAGUGGCAUCACAUAAAUUGCAGAGCCUAGGCUUCAAGAGACCUUGCAACUUGCCUCUCACUGACUUGAAGUGCUCCCAUCAGAGCAUCUUGUAAGGAGCAGGUGGAGCAUGUGGACAAGCCAUCCCCACCAGCCCCUGAGACAUGUGAGAGAGGCCAGAACAGGCCAUCCGGACCCCACUGUGCUGGUGGAUGAGACAGCAGAAGGAAUAUCAACCUACCAACAGAAUCCUGAGAAAUGCUCACUCUUACUUCAAGCUGCUGCAUUUUGAUGUUAUGAAACCAUAAAUAACUUAUGAAGUCAUCUUUGCUGACUUAAAGUUUUCCAUAACUUUAUUAUAACAUAUCAAAAUUAUGAAAAAUGUGAAAAGUAGAAAACUGAUGAAUUUUGCUUCUUCAUAUGGUCUUUAAGAAUCUCAAAGGCACUGAAGUUUUUUAUCUUUUCUGUCUUAGAAUAAAAAACCUUGAAUGAAAAUCUGCUUCUUGGAAAAGCAGCAAGGUUUAUGCAGAGGCAAUCUGGUAUUUGUGUGCACUGGCAGCUGAUCAUACCCAGCAUGCACGCACUCUCAGGGCAGAGUCUGAUGCCCCACAUAAUGGGGCAUGGUAAGGACUCCCAUGUCCUUGAGAUAAAAUGAUAAGGAAAAUACACACUGCUAUUAGAAUAACAGGCCCAGCUUCUGCACAUUUUAAUUCCCAAAGUUUUCAUGAAAGACAAUGAUUUUUUGGUACCAUGUUUAACUCUACAAGAAUCAGUAGUGAAAACUAAAAAUGAUACUUUGUGAAAGUUCAUUAAUUUUGUUUUCAGCCAGUGGUGGCCUUGGUCAGAUAGAAUCAAAUCUAUGAUACUUUUUAUCAGAAAUGCUUAUACUGUGUACAAACCCAAAGUGAUGGCUUUCAAAGAUUGAAUUUGAUUAUUUUCUGUAUGGUGCAGAUGAAAAAUUACUACACAGGAGAAGGUGGGUUGGAGGUGCUCACGAGUAACCAGGAAACAGUCUGAAGUUUUUCUGAUACUUCUCCUUGGUCCAACCAAAUGUGAGAUAUAAACACAAACUUGGGAUUCCGUUCUUAUGUUUUGGUUGUUUCAGUCUUUACAGAUGUAUCGAAAGGCUGUCCAAAAAUGUCUGACUUCUGUAGUGUGCCUUCGUAGCACUAGAGGGUUCUGCAGCUGUGAAACUGAAGGCAUUGGCAAGAAGCCCUCCAUCUUCAAACCACUUUCUGCUAAGGUGUGGCUCUAUAAAACCACUAUGAGCUGGGCUUCACUGAGACUGAGUUGUUUCAGUAGGAUCUUCCGGAAAAACAUGUUCCCUCCUUUACCUGGGUUGUCAUUCUGAGAACAAUCACACCUCCAAUUUUGGCUUACUAAGCAAUAGCGUUUUAAUGAUUUUAAGCCAGGAUUUGCUCCUCCUUUCCUCAGUAUGAGAGCUUAACCACUGGAGGAACCAAGAAUUCAUGCUGGUUGGGUUCUGAUUCCACUUUAACUUACUGUAUAGCCUCAUCCCUUGUUUUUCUGGAGAUUCUCUUUUUCUGCUUCACUGAUUUAUAUUUACAUUAAAAUCAAAUGAGGCCAUGUUUCUGAAAUCACAUUGUCCCUACAUGGUCAUUACAAUGAGUCUGUAAUGUGACUGAAAGACAGCCAUGGAUACAGGUAGAGGAUAUCAGGCAAUUGAAUGCUCAUCAAGCAUUCAAUUCAGGGCAAAUGGCAUAAGGUAUGCAGUUGGCCUCUUCUGAUAUCUGUGUCUUAAUCCUUUCUUUAGCCUCUGUUUUCUGGACCAAGGCUAAGAUAUUUUCUGGGCACAGUGGCUCAUGCCUAUAAUCCCAGCACUCUGGGAGGCCAAGGUGGGAGGAUUUCUUCAGCCCAGGAGUUCGAGACCAGCCUGGGGAACAUAGGAGACCUCAUUCCUACAAAUAAUAAAAAAAAUUAGCCAGCUCUGGUGGCGUGUGCUUAUUGGUCUCAGCUACUUGGGAGGCUGAGGUGGGAGGACUGCUUGAGCCCAGAAGAUCGCAGCUGCAUUGAGCCAUGAUUGUGCCACUGAACCCUAGCCUGAGCAACAGAGCAAGGCCUUAUCUCAAAAAAAAAAAAAAAUUCUGAGCCUUCUAAUUUUUUUUUUCUUUAAUUAACUUUCUGUAAGCCCAGCAAGUAAAUAAAACACUUAUUUUAUGAAGCAUCUAGUUGCUUUUAGGGGAAGGGACAUCCUCCGCAUAGUAUCUAGGCCAGCUCACUUUCUUCUCCUUACUGUUGAUUUACUCUCUGCCAUUGAAUCUUCUGUGCCAAUGUUGGAUUAAUGUUUCCGGGCCCUACUUUCAUCAUGCUCCUCUGUAUUAUCACCUGUUUUGGUUUACAGCAAUGAUUUUUAAGGUAAGGCAUGGUGUGUCCAUCAUAGUCACAUGGGAACUUUUUCAAGCCAUAUUAAAAAUGUCCCCCAUUCAUCAUUCUGCCCCUGGAACAGUGUGUGCAGUUGGGACCUUCAAGUAAAUCUACUUUGUUGAAACCCACUGAUCAGCAUGGUGUAUUUCAUAACUCUUUGACUUACAUUCAAGAAAUUCCUUAACCUGAACUCCAUUUUACUCUUUUUUUCAUUCAUUCAAAUUAAGAAUAUUGCCUGAACAUGAAUUAUCUGCUAGACGUUUUUCUAGGUGCAGGAGGAGUAAGGAUGAACAUAACUAGCCAUAACUAUAGCUAUCAAUUGUGGAGUGUCUGUUAUGUGCCAGGCACUUUUAAGUGACCUACUCGAUUUACUUGCAUGACAAACUGUGAGGAAAAGCCCAAUAUUAUCCCCUAUUAACAGAUGAGGAAACUGAAGCACAAACAGCAUGAAUAGUUUGUUCCAGAUUGCAUCAUAAGAGGCACAGCCAGCUUUCCUACCAAAGCAGCCCUGGCCCAGAGUCCGUACUCCCUCCUCCCCUGCCUCUGCCUGGUGGAUAAGGUCACCCUGGCCUUGUGGAACUUAUGCUCUAGUGGGGACAAAUAGUUAUAGAGAAUGACCGAUGUUACUAAGAAAAUAAAAGCUGGUAAGAAAACAGAAGCACUGAGGAGGUGACUGAAGUGAGCAUUUAUAAUUUUAUGUUAUAUCCAUUGUAAAAUAUAAGUUUAGCUUUCUCAUACCAGAAGCAGGGCUCAGUCCACCCUUGACUCAGUUUCCAAUACUGUUCCCCAUCAGAAUGGCUCUUGCUGGUGGCCAGAAGUAAAACUUAGAAAUAUCUCUCUCAGAGACACCUAAGCAGGCUGGGCUCCCCGGUUUCCUGUUGCUUCCUUUAAAGAAGCUCUUCAGACAUCUGCACAAGAACUCAAAGUGACCACCUCUCAGCCCAGCAUGACCUACUGGAACUAAUGCCUGCUUGCUUUCAACCUACCAAUUAAAGCUCCCCAGGAAACCUGUUUAGAUAACACCCUGGACCCAAGAAAGGUGCUGGGCCAUGGGUUUCUUCUCUCUCUCCCUAUCUGUGCUCCCUGACCCCCUGUGUGUGUGUGGUCUCUAGGCUUGCCUUCUAUCCCUGAGGGUCUGUAAAUACUAAAAACACUUAAACUUUCAUAUUGUAGUUGUGUCUUUGAAGCCAGGUCCCCAUCCCGUACCUUGAGGGCAAGGCCUCCUGGAAGGGACCCAUGUAGGUGGAUCCCCUGCUGUCCAGGCCUCUUAGCUGCUGGGGUAGUGACCAGUUAAGUGGAUAGAGUUUCAUUCAAAACAAUAAUCAUUCAACUGUAUCUCACAUCAAACCUCUGCUCUAGUUUAUGUAUCUACUUUAUGUUCUUAGAAGACUGUGCAAACACAUUGUCUUUUUUGAGUACCUGUCUUGUCCUAGGUACUCUGCUUGGUACGGGGAGAGACGAAUCUUCUGUCUUCAGGGGCUUCCACUCCAGCAGGGAGAACAUGACUAAUAGUGACUGCCUGCUGCUGUAGGUAAUAAGUGGCUCCCACUAGGCCCUCCAUUUGGUGGCCCCCUGUCCCUCUCACUGGUGGAAGCCUACCUGUCCUCUAAGGACCAGCUCACUAAUGUCCUAGAUCCUCACGGACCAGAUUGCUUUUCUCAGAACUGAAGAGCACUUACUAAUGGCACCUCUUGUCAUAUGCCAUCCCAGGAUUUGAAUUUUUUUUUUUUUUCUGUCUUGUGGCCCAAAUAAAUCCUGAACUCCUCGAGGGCUGGGAGUGUAUCUAGCAGUUUCCUUAUACUGGACUAAUCAGAUGCUGACUAGGUAGCAGUGAGAAAAAUCUAGAAAUUCCCUUUUAGCCACAUCGACUUACACGAGGGGAUGUGUGUAAGGUACUAUAGCUCUUUAAACAAGAGGUGGUCUCGUUUGAAGGGUGGAUUGAUGUGGGUGUUCAAAUGAUGUCACAAGUGGCUGGUUUCUCUGUCUCCAUUUCUUUUUUUUUUGGCUCCAUUUCCAAAUUUCCCAGAUAGCACAGCAAGUUGGCCCCAGCAGCUCUAGACACUCCAUCUUCUCAGGGCAUAGCCAACACAAUAAAAUAUUUCAAGUUCCUGAAAGAUAGCUGAAAUAAGCCCUAGAAGUUUCUGGAUUGGGAGCAGAGCCAAACCUGCCAGCUCACAUAGAUGAGGGCAGGGAAUAGGGUGUCUCACGAUCACAGUGUCCUGCCUUCUGAUUUGCCUGGGACUGUCCUGUUUUGGCACCAAAAAUAUCUGCAUCCUAGGAAACCCUCAGGUCCUGGGCAAAUUCAGACAGUGACUUGCCCUAUCAGAAGCAAAGCAAGGUGCCAUUACCUGAGGUGGGCAAAUUCAGACAGUGACUUGCCCUAUCAGAAGCAAAGCAAGGUUGCCAUUACCUGAGGUGGGCAAAUGGAGGCUGGGUGGCCAGUGAGUGACCAAUAACCCCAGCAUUGGAGAGAGUGGAGCAGCCCUUCAAGAAGUUCCAACCUCUGCCCAGGACUGGUUUUACCAACUUCACUAGGCUUAGAAUCGUAGGAAGUCUAUUUGGGACUUGCGAGUCUCACGUAUUCCUGCCUAAAUGUUUAUGGAUACCUGUUUAGAGCUGAAAUCUUUUCAGCUCCCAUAAUAUGAGGGAAUUAGGUCUCAAAGAAGAUCAUGUAUUUUGAUCAGACCUUAUAGCUGAGCAGUGGAAAGAAAAAAAAUCAGUGUGAGAUCUCCCAGGGUUCCGCAGGAGUGGCUUCCUUAGUCCAACUGGCAGCCUAUCCUGGAAUAUUGCCUGGGAGAGAGGUUAGUUGCUUUUCCUGGUGCUAGGAACUGAAUGGUUUUACAUAUUGAUCAAUGAAAAUACUUAUUUGGCCUACAAUAGGUGCAAAAAUACUGCUAAUUACUAACAGUAUCUCUUCUUUGCUGCGUGCCAGACACUCCACUGGGCAUUAUGCAGUUAAUAUGUACCAUGAAUUUCCCGUGGUUAGCAAUGAUGUCAGGCAUAGAAAAGACAUGAAAUUAUGAUGUCAAAUGAAUAAACUGGAAAAAGGAAUUUCUUGAAUUUUCUCCAGCUGUCCUAAGAAUGUAUCUAUACUUUGAUCCUGGCCUACCUUUUCAACAUCUAAACUUUAUUCCCCCAAGCUUCUAGAUAUUCAAAGUUAAGUAUUAAAUAAAAUCAGUAAAUAUAUACAAGCUUGUUUGGCCAUUCUGAAUAAGGUUAUAUUUCCACCACACAAUCUCCAAAUUCUCUAGCAGAAGGGAUCAGUAUGUUAUAGAUACCCCCUUUCCUUCCCUCCCUGGCAAGCCACCACAUCUGUUAUGGGUACUCAAUGCAGUGGCUGCACCUGGGCCUCACUCAUUAAGCAGUUGUUGAUUGAGUGACUGAAUUGAAUGCCUGAUGAGCUCGCAAGUAAGAUUCAGACUGUGCCUGCAAACUAAUAGGAUCCCUCCGCUUUUUAUUCACUACUGCUGAGGUAGAUCUCAGGCCAGCCUGAAGUUUAGGUCUACUGAGAAAUAAUAAGCCUCAAAAAUCGAGCUUUGCUUCACCCAGUCUCCCAGUAAACACUAAGAAAUGUUCACAUUAUUUACACAUCCUAGACUGCCUGUCUUAUGGACCAAAUGUUUGUGUUCUCCCCGCAAUUUAUACAUUGGAAUCCUAACCCUCAAUGUAAUAGCAUUAGGUGCUGGGGUCUUUGGGAGGUGAUUGGCUAAUGGACCUGGAGCCCUCAUGAUGGGAUGAGUCCCCUUAUCAGAAGAGACCUGAGAAGGCUUGCUUCCUCUCCCUGUGCUCUUCAUGAUGUGAAGACACAAGAAGACAGCCAUCUGUGGGCCAGGAAGAGGUCCUCACUGGAACCCAACCAUGCUGGCACCCCAAUCUUGAAUUUCUAGCUUCAAGAACUUGGGAAAUAAAUGUAAGCCAGCCAGCUUAUGGAUUUGUUACAGCAGCCUAAGCUAAGUCAGAGUCUCUAGAACAGCUGGUCUGGGGCAGCGGUGAAGGGAGGUGGGUGGGCAUAUGACCCUGCCCUGCACAUGAAUGGCAAAGGCAACUGGAGAGCCUCUCCCUUUUGGUGAGAUCCCCAGUCCACAAGGGCAUGUUCAUCCAUAGCUUUACUUCCCGAAGCAAAUUCUGGUUCCUGGGGCCUGUGCCUCCAUAGAUGGCAUGAUCUGCAGCCUCCUGUGGUAAUUUACCCUCUUCCUAAAUUUCUGAGUCUUCACAUUUAAGCAAUCCUAGUUAGAUAUCCUCUACCUGUAUCCAUGGCUGUCUUUCAGUCACAUUACAGACUCAUUGUGAUGACCAUGUAGGGACAAUGUGAUUUCAGAAACAUGGCCUCAUUUGAUUUUAAUGUAAAUAUAAAUCAGUGAAGCAGAAAAAGAGAAUCUCCAGAAAAACAAGGGAUGAGGCUGUACAGCAAGUUAAAGUGGAAUCAGAACCCAACUGUAGUCCAUUAUUUGUUUCAAUCCUGCUCUUUUCUACCAUAUCACCCAGUUUCCAAAUCGUUCAGCAAAUUGCCAUGGUCAAUGGGAUUAACCUUUCCCUUUUAUUCUCAGGAAAUCUCCCUUGUCCAUUUUGCAAGACUGUGUGAUUCUUUCUACUGUUACAAGGAAUAAAAGCCUUCCUAAAAAGGUCUUUGGUGCCUUUAUUAUUUUACGGAUCAUUUCUGAGGGAAUUAUUGAACUUCAUUAUGUAACCACCCCUUGGGUUCACCUUGCCCACUGCCUAGACAGAGCCAAUUUAUCCAGACAGGAGAAUUGCAAUGGAGAAAGAGUAAUUC
rnacentral:lncRNA from 1 species